CGCGGCUUACCAUGCAGUCGAGGGGCAGCACAGUGCAGCAAUGUAUGGGUGGCGACCGGCGCACGGGUGAGUAACGCGUAUGCAACCUACCUAUAAGAGGGGGAUAGCCCGGCGAAAGUCGGAUUAAUACCCCGUAAGACAGGGGUUCCGCAUGGGACUAUUAGUUAAAGGAUUUAUUGCUUAUAGAUGGGCAUGCGUACCAUUAGGUAGUUGGUAGGGUAACGGCUUACCAAGCCUUCGAUGGUUAGGGGUUCUGAGAGGAAGGUCCCCCACACUGGAACUGAGACACGGUCCAGACUCCUACGGGAGGCAGCAGUGAGGAAUAUUGGUCAAUGGCCGCAGGGCUGAACCAGCCAAGUCGCGUGAAGGAGGACGGCCCUAAGGGUUGUAAACUUCUUUUGUAUGGGAAUAAAGUGCGGGAUGUGUCCUGUUUUGUAUGUACCAUACGAAUAAGCAUCGGCUAACUCCGUGCCAGCAGCCGCGGUAAUACGGAGGAUGCGAGCGUUAUCCGGAUUUAUUGGGUUUAAAGGGUGCGUAGGUGGGCUGUUAAGUCAGCGGUGAAAUUUUGGUCGCUUAACGAUAAAAAUGCCGUUGAAACUGGUGGUCUUGAGUAUGGAGGAAGCAGGCGGAAUGCGUGGUGUAGCGGUGAAAUGCUUAGAGAUCACGCAGAACUCCGAUUGCGAAGGCAGCUUGCUAUACCAAAACUGACGCUGAGGCACGAAAGCGUGGGUAUCAAACAGGAUUAGAUACCCUGGUAGUCCACGCAGUAAACGAUGAUUACUAGAGUUUGCGAUAAAGCGUAAGCUCUACAGCGAAAGCGUUAAGUAAUCCACCUGGGGAGUACGCCGGCAACGGUGAAACUCAAAGGAAUUGACGGGGGCCCGCACAAGCGGAGGAACAUGUGGUUUAAUUCGAUGAUACGCGAGGAACCUUACCCGGGAUUGAAAUGUGCACGAAUGGGGAUGAAAAUUUUCAGCCAGCGAUGGCGUGCAUGUAGUGCUGCAUGGUGUCGUCAGCUCGUGCCGUGAGGUGUCGCCUUAAGUGCC
rnacentral:rRNA from 1 species